UGGGGAAUUUUGGACAAUGGGGGAAACCCUGAUCCAGCCAUCCCGCGUGUGCGAUGAAGGCCUUCGGGUUGUAAAGCACUUUUGGCAGGAAAGAAACGUCAUGGGUUAAUACCCCGUGAAACUGACGGUACCUGCAGAAUAAGCACCGGCUAACUACGUGCCAGCAGCCGCGGUAAUACGUAGGGUGCAAGCGUUAAUCGGAAUUACUGGGCGUAAAGCGUGCGCAGGCGGUUCGGAAAGAAAGAUGUGAAAUCCCAGAGCUCAACUUUGGAACUGCAUUUUUAACUACCGGGCUCGAGUGUGUCAGAGGGAGGUGGAAUUCCGCGUGUAGCAGUGAAAUGCGUAGAUAUGCGGAGGAACACCGAUGGCGAAGGCAGCAUACCGGGAUAACACUGACGCUCAUGCACGAAAGCGUGGGGAGCAAACAGG
rnacentral:rRNA from 1 species